rnacentral:rRNA from 1 species
GACGAGGGGUCCUAGCGUUGUUCGGAAUCACUGGGCGUAAAGCGUAUGUAGGCGGCUCUUCAAGUCAGAUGUGAAAUCCCUUGGCUCAACCAAGGAAUUGCAUUUGAAACUGUAGAGCUUGAGUAUUGGAGAGGGUGGCAGAAUUCCAGGUGUAGUGGUGAAAUACGUAGAUAUCUGGAGGAACACCGGUGGCGAAGGCGGCUACCUGGCCAAGUACUGACGCUGAGAUACGAAAGUGCGGGGAUCAAACAGG